rnacentral:rRNA from 1 species
CUACGGGGGGCAGCAGUGGGGAAUAUUGCACAAUGGGCGCAAGCCUGAUGCAGCCAUGCCGCGUGUGUGAAGAAGGCCUUCGGGUUGUAAAGCACUUUCAGCGGGGAGGAAGGCGGUGAGGUUAAUAACCUCAUCGAUUGACGCUACCCGCAGAAGAAGCACCGGCUAACUCCGUGCCAGCAGCCGCGGUAAUACGGAGGGUGCAAGCGUUAAUCGGAAUUACUGGGCGUAAAGCGCACGCAGGCGGUCUGUCAAUUCGGAUGUGAAAUCCCCGGGCUCAACCUGGGAACUGCAUUCGAAACUGGCAGGCUAGAGUCUUGUAGAGGGGGGUAGAAUUCCAGGUGUAGCGGUGAAAUGCGUAGAGAUCUGGAGGAAUACCAGUGGCGAAGGCGGCCCCCUGGACAAAGACUGACGCUCAGGUGCGAAAGCGUGGGGAGCAAACAGGAUUAGAUACCCGAGUAGUC